CCUACGGGUGGCAGCAGUGAGGAAUAUUGGUCAAUGGACGGAAGUCUGAACCAGCCAAGUAGCGUGAGGGAUGACUGCCCUAUGGGUUGUAAACUUCUUUUGUAUGGGAAUAACAUCUUCCACGUGUGGGGUUUUGUAUGUACCGUAUGAAUAAGGAUCGGCUAAAUCCGUGCCAGCAGCCGCGGUAAUACGGAGGAUCCGAGCGUUAUCCGGAUUUAUUGGGUUUAAAGGGAGCGUAGGUGGGUUGUUAAGUCAGUUGUGAAAGUUUGCGGCCCAACCGUCACAUGGCAGUUGAAACUGGAAGUCUUGAGUACAGUACAGGCAGGCGGAAUUCGUGGUGUAGCGGUGAAAUGCAUAGAUAUCACGAAGAACCCCGAUUGCGAAGGCAGCCUACUGGAGUGCAACUGACACUGAGGCUCGAAGGUGCGGGUAUCAAACAGGAUUAGAUACCCUUGUAGUC
rnacentral:rRNA from 1 species